rnacentral:rRNA from 1 species
ACGUAAGUGGCGAGCGUUAUCCGGAAUUACUGGGCGUAAAGGGUUCGUAGGUGGCCACUUAAGUCAGACGUGAAAUCCCUCAGCUUAACUGGGGAACUGCGUCUGAUACUGGGUGGCUUGAGUGCAGGAGAGGAAUGCGGAAUUCCAGGUGUAGCGGUGAAAUGCGUAGAUAUCUGGAGGAACACCGGUGGCGAAGGCGGCAUUCUGGACUGUAACUGACACUGAGGAACGAAAGCCAGGGGAGCAAACGGGA